CCGGGUGCCUAGGACUCCGACUUUCUCUGGGAGGAAAACAAGGUGGACGCUGCACCUGCGUCACUGCCCUGCAUCACCGUUUGGUUUGGUUGGGAUGUUCCAGUAAUUCUGAGAAAUUCAGAAGAGACCCAGUUCAGCACAAGAGUUUUCAAAAAGCAAAUGAGACAAGUCAAGAAUCCUUUUGGCUUAGAGAUCACUAAUCCAUCUUCAGCUUCAAUUACAACUGGCAUAACCUUGACAACAGAUUGCCUUGAAGAUAGCCUCCUUACAUGCUACUGGGGGUGCAGUGUUCAAAAAUUAUAUGAAGCUCUGCAUAUUAAAAAGGAUAGCAAAGAAGAAAUAUAUUGCCAGUUACCAAGAGAUACUAAAAUUGAAGACUUUGGUACAGUACCCAGAUCUCGCUAUCCAUUGGUAGCGCUAUUGACCUUAGCUGAUGAGGAUGACCGGGAAAUUUAUGAUAUUGUAAGUAAUUGAAAAUUUUGAAAGCAUUACCUUUAAGUGAUUUGAAUGGUGGUUCUUCAUUAUUUGA
rnacentral:sRNA from 1 species